rnacentral:lncRNA from 1 species
GACGGUCGAGAGGUGGCAUGCGCGGCUCUGCCAGGAGCUGCCACACAGGCUCAUGACGGAAGACCCACAAGAAAAGCCCAUCUAACAAGAGAGAAACAUACAAAUUCAUUUACGUUUUCUCUGUCAUGGAGGCCUCAGAAAAGAAGUCCCCCCAACACAGGGAAAGAUUGCAGCUGACUGAUUCACUGUUGGAUUGAUGGAGACACCAAAAUGAAUUAGAUCACAUCAUUUGGAUUCUUGUAGCUUGGAAAUUGAAUGAUCUUAUAAUGAAGAAUCUGAAUUUCAAAAAGCAGUCCCCAAGGAUGAAGACCUUCUGAGCUUCCAGACAAACACAUCUCUUCCUGCAUGAGUGAAACUGGCUCCGGAAGACGCACUGUGCUUACGUUUCAGUGGAAUUGAUCUCAUCACAUCUCCCUGUAAUCAUCUGAGGCUGGCUCUACCUACAUACUGAUCCCACAUUCUGAUGCCCGUGUGACACUGUGGAGGGCCUGGAACCUGCUAAACAUCUCUGUGUGAGAACAUUCUCCUCUUUGUCCUAAAGUCAUUUCCGCAGGACAGAGCUCCUGAAGAGCCACCCUGCUGUCCUCGGUGACAGAUUUGCCAGCCCUCCACCAGGUGGAUGGAUAUGGUGAGAUCAGCUGUGUCCUCUGGUAUUUCUCCUGCUCUCAGGGUGAUCCCAGCCUCCUACCAUCAUGAAGCAGCCCCCAGGAGGAAGCUGCAGGAAGGCAGCCAUCUGAGGAUAGUCAUCCCAGCUUCACACUCCCAGAAAGUCACAGAGAAAAACAGUCUUUUUUUUUUUUUUUUUUUUGGCUGAGAUGUAGGGUGGCAGAUAGGAGGA